rnacentral:lncRNA from 10 species
GAGAUCUUCAGCUGCAGCUCAGGGGGAUCCACCACGUCACACAGGGCUCCUAGUCCAAGAGCUGCUGGGAGAAUCAGGGACCUGGCUCAUAGGGAUCAUUGAGAGAAUAAUCCUCUCAGCUGCUGAGCACUGGUGCCCCCUGCCCCAUCUGGUUGACUCUUACUCCAGGGUGCUAUAAAAAUAGCAUUUUCCAUGUGUGCCAUGAAGGCAAAAAGAUCUAAGCUGAGCCAGAGCCCCUGGAUCAGGGAUACUCACAGGAUGUAGGUGAUGACGCCUAUGCUCCUGCAAAAUAAAGAACAGUCAAGUCAGGGCCACCUGGGUCCCAUCCCCGACCAGCAAGGGACACCCUCAUGGAUCUAAGGGGAAGAGGUCACUUGCCUCCUCCACAGCAGACCCUGGAUGCCGUCUCAUGCUCCACACCCAUCUCCAUCCUGCUCUUCAGCAGCAGCCCGGGGUGUGUUUGGAGUCAUCGAGCUCUGAACCCUGAGUCCGAAGACCCAAGUUCAAGAUCAGACUCCUGCACUUGCAGGCUGUGUGAUUUAGAUGACACUUUUUAAAAGCUUGGAGAUCAUGGAGGCAAAAAAGAGGACAGUAGCUUGAGAAGGAGGAAGGACUGAGCCCAUUCAACUGCGAAUGGAAAAGGUGGAGAGUGGGAAAGUGUAUUUGUCUUCCCUGACUGCUUUGUCUUGGUACCCUUCAGUUUCACUAUAAUGUGUCUAGGUAAGAUUUUUGUUUUUUUCUGCCUGGUAUAUAUUGUCCUUUCUGUGUCUGUGGAUGCAUGGAUGCAGUUCUGAAAAUUCUCAGCCAUUCUCUUCAAAUAGUGCUUCUCCUUUUUUUCUUUUUGUAUCUAUUUCCUCCUUUUAGAAUUCCAAAGAGAUCUAUGAUAAGUUUUCUUUUUAUCCUCUUUUGCUUAUCCUCUCUUUCAUAUUUCUAUGUCUUUGUCACUCUAUGGUGCUCUAGCUAAUUUGUUUCAGCUCUUUCAAUUCUUCAACUCUCUCCUUAGCUGUAUACAAUCUGCUGUUUAACCCAUUCACAGAGUUUUACAUUUCAACAAUUAAAUUCUUUAAAGUUC